rnacentral:rRNA from 1 species
UUUUCGGGUUGAUCCUGCCGGACCCGACUGCUAUUUGGGUGAGAAUAAGCCAUGCGAGUCGAAUGGGAUACCUAAAUCUCCCAUGGCAAACUGCUCAGUAACACAUGAUCAACUUACCCUAUAGAGAAAAAUAACCUCGGGAAACUGAGGAUAAUAUUUCAUAGUUGAAUAGGCUUGGAAAAGUUUUUCAAUAAAAGGGAUAAAGAAAAUGGUCUUUAUCCGCUAUAGGAUAGGAUCGUGUUCGAUUAUGGUUGUUGGUGAGGUAACGGCUCACCAAGCCGAUAAUCGAUAGGGGCCGUGAGAGCGGGAGCCCCGAGAUGGGUACUGAGACAACGACCCAGGCCUUACGAGGCGCAGCAGGCGCGAAACCUCCGCAAUACACGAAAGUGUGACGGGGUUACCCAAAGUGCUCUUUCUAGAGCUGUGGUAGGUGAGUAAUGUUCCCUACUAGAAAGGAGAGGGCAAGGCUGGUGCCAGCCGCCGCGGUAAAACCAGCUCUUCAAGUGGUCGGGAUAAUUAUUGGGCUUAAAGUGUCCGUAGCCGGUUUAGUAAGUUCCUGGUAAAAUCGGGUAGCUUAACUAUCCGUAUGCUAGGAAUACUGCUAUACUAGAGGGCGGGUGAAGUCUGAGGUACUACAGGGGUAGGGGUGAAAUCUUAUAAUCCUUGUAGGACCACCAGUGGCGAAGGCGUCAGACUGGAACGCGCCUGACGGUGAGGGACGAAAGCCAGGGGAGCGAACCGGAUUAGAUACCCGGGUAGUCCUGGCCGUAAACGAUGCAUACUAGGUGAUGGUACGGCCAUGAGCCGUGUCAGUGCCGUAGGGAGACCGUUAAGUGUGCCGCCUGGGAAGUACGGUCGCAAGGCUAAAACUUAAAGGAAUUGGCGGGGGAGCACCACAAGGGGUGAAGCCUGCGGUUUAAUUGGAUUCAACGCCGGGAAUCACUAGU